CUUUUUUUGUUGAAAACUAGACGCGACAACAAUAUUUUCUUAUCGCAAAUUUGCAUGCUUGAAUUUGAGUUUUCGUGUGUACAAAAUAAUGAUCAAUUAGAAAGUUUUCGUUACUUUUCGUUCAUUUCCUAAUUUUGUGAUGUGAAUUUAAUUGAACUUCAUCGUAGUAAGUAACGUACAACUGAAUUCCAUUCCACAUCAAUUUUUGGGCCAUCAGUAUAGCUUCAAAUUCAGCUGAAUACAGCUAAAAAGAAUCAGCAGUCAACAUCGUCAUGGUUUUCUUCUAGGUAAGGUACUUUUCCGCGAUUCUGCAAGUUCGUUCAAAGUAUGAAAAUGUUAAAAACUGUAAAUAAUCUGCAUUUUCGAGAAAAGUUGGAGAAACCUCGGUUCAAAAGCUACAUAAACAGAACCUCAAGAAUCAUUUUCAAAGAUCAAACUCCCGGAGAAAGUACUUCAGUUGCUGCUAAAGUAUUAGAAACUGCUUCCUGUGGUAAAAACCUACGUACAAAAAAUACGAUAAAGCCCGCUGGUACAUUGAAGAAGAAAUAUUUAUUCUUCAACAGCCCUGCAGUCACACAACUUCAUCGAACUCCGAGUCCGAGUAAAUAUGCUUCGUUCACUGAUAUCUCAAAACUCAGUGAAAUGCGCGAAACUUCGGAAUCAGCGUAUUCGUCGUUUGAAAAUUCGAAGAGUGAUUUGAUAUCAAAUAAUAGCAUGUCAAGAAAUAAUAAUAUCAAGACGUACGAUCUUUCGGUAGACGAUUACAAUCCCGAAGGUGCACGGAAGUCUUCGUUUCAUCUUAGAAGUCCGAAGAAAACUUUGCAUCAAGUCAUCCAGCCGUCAUUUACAAUAGAUGACUUGAAGAUCGACACCGGUGAACUUUCAUCUUGUGACUUUUCAUUUACGUUGCCUAAAAUUAGAACAGAAAAUUAUCCAGCAAUGAGUACAACGGCGCCGAAAGCUCCUGACUCGUUGAAGAAUGAUUAUCUUUCUUCACACAACGAUCAGAUGUUUUGCUUAUCAGAAACUCGUCGAAACGAAAUUUUUUCAUGGAUAUUGUCAAGUAAUCGAAGUAACCGCGAUGAUAUUAGUUCCAUGAAGUGUAGUGACGAUGGCGAAAACUCAAUUGAUUUUUCCUCAUUAAAGUACGAGGCGCAAACUGUGGCAGACAUUUUGUUUGAGAAUUACUGUGGCAGUGAUGAUGAUUUACAAACUGAUAACUCUACGUUGUUGCCUAUGCCUACUCCCGGAGCAGCGAAAUCUCAUUGUCAGACCUUCAUUGAUAGUUCAUUUGAUUCAGUUGACAACCAACUUGAUUCAGACCUUGAUGGUAAUCUAUGUUCACGCUCACGCGCAGACAAUGAAAGAAGUUUACCCUAUGUUCAAACAAGCCAUGAUGAAAGUAGCCAACGUUUUGCCUGAACCACUCGAAUAUGAAUUUUGUGAGAAAUACUACCUUGCUGAAGAGUGAAGAACUUAUAAUGAGAUGAAACCAUCGACAACAUAUUAUGCAAAUUUCACCAAAGUGAACAUUUUUUUCGACGCGGAUUCAUAGGAUGACCAUUGGGACAAUUCCAGAUCUUGGAAAAUUCUUCCGAAUUCGUUAUAACACUGGCUAGUCGUAUUGUAUUCGAAUUAUCCUGCUGGCUAUAUGAUAUGGCUCCAUUUCCGUUCAUAUUUCUGCCACGAACUCCGCAAAAAAUCUACGAAAAUGGUUGCAGAGUCGUUUCCAUUAAGUUGUUGGUAAUGUUCACCUACACAUAGCUCAUCGUCAGUUAAUCUAAACAAUCAUGAAGCAAAUGAAAGGAUUUCCAAAGAAUUAAAACAUUUUUGCUGAUAAAUAAAAUAAAUGAACAUGGAAGCCUUACUUCACAGUCUGCAGCUCUAUUAUCCAACGCGGACAUUCGCAGUGAGCAAUGAAUUUCAAACAAGAUAUUUAAGGAUGAAAAAAAACACUAAAAAAGUACGUACCUAGACCUACCUACCUACCUUUUAAAAGUACCUAUUAUAUGAAAACAUGUUUAUUAUUCGUCUAUAUCUACUCAUAAG